rnacentral:rRNA from 1 species
UGGGGAAUAUUGGACAAUGGGCGCAAGCCUGAUCCAGCCAUGCCGCGUGAGUGAUGAAGGCCCUAGGGUUGUAAAGCUCUUUCAACGGUGAAGAUAAUGACGGUAACCGUAGAAGAAGCCCCGGCUAACUUCGUGCCAGCAGCCGCGGUAAUACGAAGGGGGCUAGCGUUGUUCGGAAUUACUGGGCGUAAAGCGCACGUAGGCGGAUUGAUCAGUCAGGGGUGAAAUCCCGGGGCUUAACCCCGGAACUGCCUUUGAUACUGUCUGUCUAGAGGACGAGAGAGGUGAGUGGAAUUCCGAGUGUAGAGGUGAAAUUCGUAGAUAUUCGGAGGAACACCAGUGGCGAAGGCGGCUCACUGGCUCGAUACUGACGCUGAGGUGCGAAAGCGUGGGGAGCAAACAGGAUUAGAUACCCCCGUAGUCC